rnacentral:tRNA from 1 species
GGUUUCGUAGCUCAGCUAGUAGAGCGCUUGCCGCGUAGAGGCAUGAUGUUUCUGUCGCUGGUUCGAAUCCAGCCGAAGCCC